UUGCGCCUACGGGACGCAGCAGUGAGGAAUAUUGGUCAAUGGGCGGAAGCCUGAACCAGCCAAGUCGCGUGAGGGAAUAAGGCCCUACGGGUCGUAAACCUCUUUUGCCGGGGAGCAAGGGCCGGGACGCGUCCCGGCCCGGAGAGUACCCGGAGAAAAAGCAUCGGCUAACUCCGUGCCAGCAGCCGCGGUAAUACGGAGGAUGCGAGCGUUAUCCGGAUUUAUUGGGUUUAAAGGGUGCGCAGGCGGCACGGCAAGCCGGCGGUCAAAUCUCGGGGCUCAACCCCGCUCAGCCGUCGGAACGG
rnacentral:rRNA from 1 species